GAUGAACGCUAGCGGCAGGCUUAACACAUGCAAGUCGAGGGGCAGCAUUGGUACUUGUAUCAGAUGGCGACCGGCGCACGGGUGCGUAACGCGUAUAGUACCUACCUUAUAGUAAGGGAUAGCCCGGAGAAAUUUGGAUUAAUACCUUAUGGUACCUUAAGUGAGCAUUCACAAUAGGUUAAAGAUUUAUCGCUAUAAGAUGGCUAUGCGUUCUAUUAGCUGGUUGGUAUGGUAACGGCAUACCAAGGCUACGAUAGAUAGGGGUCCUGAGAGGGAGAUCCCCCACACUGGUACUGAGACACGGACCAG
rnacentral:rRNA from 1 species